rnacentral:rRNA from 1 species
AUUGAACGCUGGCGGCAGGCCUAACACAUGCAAGUCGAACGAGUGGCGGACGGGUGAGUAAUGUCUGGGAAACUGCCCGAUGGAGGGGGAUAACUACUGGAAACGGUAGCUAAUACCGCAUACCAUCGGAUGUGCCCAGAUGGGAUUAGCUAGUAGGUGGGGUAACGGCUCACCAAGGCGACGAUCCCUAGCUGGUCUGAGAGGAUGACCAGCCACACUGGAACUGAGACACGGUCCAGACUCCUACGGGAGGCAGCAGUGGGGAAUAUUGGACAAUGGGCGAAAGCCUGAUGCAGCCAUGCCGCGUGUAUGAUGAAGGCCUUCGGGUUGUAAAGUACUUUCGGCAGGGAGGCGUUACCCGCAGAAGAAGCACCGGCUAACUCCGUGCCAGCCGCCGCGGUAAUAC